UCCAGCGUCUGUGAUUGGUGCGCGCGCGCGAGGGGAGCACGAGGCGCUCGCCCCCGGGGCGGGGGCUGAGCCUGAGGGGAGCGCUGAGGGAAGCCUUGAAACUCCUGGUUGUGAUAUCUACUGUGGUACAACACCAGCUUCAGAUGUAGCUGCAACCCACAGAACAAUACAUCAUGACGUACAAUAGCCACAGCGGGCUGAAGGAAAGGCGUUCUCUGCACGGAGAAGGAAACGCACCUUUCACAAGGGCCAUUUGGGCAGGGUGAGUACUGUCUGUGCUAACAGCUUCUGUUUAACCAAUAACAGCAAUGACAAGGAGUACCACUGCAAAGGUAAGAAGCAACGUGGCCACAGAAUGAUACUCAAACCAUACUAAACAUUAGGAAAAAUACUUUGUUUGGCUCCAAAAUAGAUUGAUAUAGACAUAUCAAUAUAAGUCCUCCUCAAGUAAAAUCAGGUCAUUUACUGAUGCAUAGCAAAAUUCUGGU